rnacentral:rRNA from 1 species
UACGUAGGGGGCAAGCGUUGUCCGGAAUGACUGGGCGUAAAGGGCGCGUAGGCGGCGAUCUAAGUUAGGAGUGAAAGUCCAGCUUUUAAGGUUGGAAUUGCUUUUAAUACUGGAUGGCUUGAGUGCGGAAGAGGUAAGUGGAAUUCCCAGUGUAGCGGUGAAAUGCGUAGAGAUUGGGAGGAACACCAGUGGCGAAGGCGACUUACUGGGCCGUAACUGACGCUGAGGCGCGAAAGCGUGGGGAGCGAACA